CCGGGGAAGACGAGGCCAGCCCACUUCGGCUCCGAUCACCACCGAAAAGGGAAACUGACACAGACCCCGAAACAAGGAUAGUGCCAGGAUCCUUAACCAGAUGUGGAGUCGGCAGGCAGUAGUGGAAACACCACGAGCUGGAGCCAAAGUGAUCUGCGCUUGAACCCUGGGUCUUCCUCCACUUACUCUGCAACUUGGGGCAAGUCACUGUGAACUCAAAACAGAAGUAGGUAGCACACAUGAACAGAAUUCGUGUGAGGAUUAAACGAGACGGUGCAUGUAACUUACAUGCCACCACUUGUGGCAUUUAACGAAUCUGAAGAUCAGGCUUCUCUCCCUAGAAGAGAAAACUUCUGUACAAACGAGAUGAUUUUGCAUACGAUAUUAAAAGUUGUUUACCGAUCCUCAGAAGUGAGUCGAUACACCCACUACGGGUAGUGAUUUCCUCAGGCUGAGAAGUGCUGAUGUAGGAACUCUCAUUGACUUAUCUUUCUGAAGUAUCAUUCUGACUGACAUCUUUUUGAAGAAGGCAAUGAAGCUGGAUAAUCUCCCACCUACUUAAUGGUUCCUUCUCAGAUUCUAGCAUUUUAAGGCUCGGUCAAGAAUGCUCCAAGGACAACUGCUUUUAUAGGAACUUGUGGAAAGAAAAGCUGAUGUGUUUUUGCACUACAAUGAAAUCUGUAGGUUAUUUCUC